rnacentral:rRNA from 1 species
CCUACGGGUGGCAGCAGUGAGGAAUAUUGGUCAAUGGACGAGAGUCUGAACCAGCCAAGUAGCGUGAAGGAUGACUGCCCUAUGGGUUGUAAACUUCUUUUAUAUGGGAAUAAAAUGUUCCACGUGUGGGAUUUUGUAUGUACCAUAUGAAUAAGGAUCGGCUAACUCCGUGCCAGCAGCCGCGGUAAUACGGAGGAUCCGAGCGUUAUCCGGAUUUAUUGGGUUUAAAGGGAGCGUAGGUGGAUUGUUAAGUCAGUUGUGAAAGUUUGCGGCUCAACCGUAAAAUUGCAGUUGAUACUGGCAGUCUUGAGUACAGUAGAGGUAGGCGGAAUUCGUGGUGUAGCGGUGAAAUGCUUAGAUAUCACGAAGAACUCCGAUUGCGAAGGCAGUUCACUAGACUGCAACUGACACUGAGGCUCGAAAGUGUGGGUAUCAAACAGGAUUAGAUACCCGAGUAGUC